AACGAUUCUCGCCCUUUUUCGCUACGAUCAAGUGUAGGAGCAGUCCUCUUCGUGCUCGGUAUCUGAUACGUUCUCUAGUCGAGAACGGCAUCGUAAAUGGGUUUGCUGGGGCUGGGUAAGUGGGGUCAGGGGUUCGCUCCGUUCUUUUCACGCAUCGGCCUGGCAUUGCAGUAUUUCUAGGAACUGUGCGCGCUUC